ACCUAGUAAAAGCCUUGGUAAUUUCCGGCAAGACUCGGAAAUUUACCUAACUAGGUUGCAGACCAAGGAUUAAUUUCCUACGUUGUUUUGGUCAUGAUACCUGGGAGUGAACUCCAGCUCCCAGCUCUAUC
rnacentral:sRNA from 14 species